GGAGAUGAUACAUCUUUCUGAUAAUUAGUCUUUUAUCUACUAACCCAAAUGCCCUUUCUCAGUACUGAUAACAUCCUUGGAAACCAAAUUAAAGAGAAUAAACAUGGUUCUGGAAAACAGAACAAGUAUAAACUGUGGAAGUCCUGAUGAGCCAGUCUUCUGGUGUACACUCUUUUUAGGGACUACAUUGUUUCAGCCCUAGAUCAUACCAUUCUGUGGACAACUGUAUAGAAGACACUAAUUAUAACUUUCCAACUCUGUCUUUUCAAUGUUGUCAGGCAAGGUUUCUCUUAUUAU
rnacentral:lncRNA from 1 species